UAAAAGUUAGCUCAUAUUUUGGAACGUUUGCCUACGUUUGCCGCUAGGGGCGCUGUUCCAACUGCAUACAAAAUUGGGCUA
rnacentral:pre_miRNA from 1 species